rnacentral:rRNA from 1 species
CAGGCUUAACACAUGCAAGUCCAUGGGCAGCAUGGUCUUAGCUUGCUAAGGCCGAUGGCGACCGGCGCACGGGUGAGUAACACGUAUCCAACCUGCCGUCUACUCUCGGACAGCCUUCUGAAAGGAAGAUUAAUACAAGAUGGCAUCAUGAGUCCGCAUGUUCACAUGAUUAAAGGUAUUCCGGUAGACGAUGGGGAUGCGUUCCAUUAGAUAGUAGGCGGGGUAACGGCCCACCUAGUCUUCGAUGGAUAGGGGUUCUGAGAGGAAGGUCCCCCACAUUGGAACUGAGACACGGUCCAAACUCCUACGGGAGGCAGCAGUGAGGAAUAUUGGUCAAUGGGCGAGAGCCUGAACCAGCCAAGUAGCGUGAAGGAUGACUGCCCUAUGGGUUGUAAACUUCUUUUAUAAAGGAAUAAAGUCGGGUAUGGAUACCCGUUUGCAUGUACUUUAUGAAUAAGGAUCGGCUAACUCCGUGCCAGCAGCCGCGGUAAUACGGAGGAUCCGAGCGUUAUCCGGAUUUAUUGGGUUUAAAGGGAGCGUAGAUGGAUGUUUAAGUCAGUUGUGAAAGUUUGCGGCUCAACCGUAAAAUUGCAGUUGAUACUGGAUAUCUUGAGUGCAGUUGAGGCAGGCGGAAUUCGUGGUGUAGCGGUGAAAUGCUUAGAUAUCACGAAGAACUCCGAUUGCGAAGGCAGCCUGCUAAGCUGCAACUGACAUUGAGGCUCGAAAGUGUGGGUAUCAAACAGGAUUAGAUACCCUGGUAGUCCACACGGUAAACGAUGAAUACUCGCUGUUUGCGAUAUACUGCAAGCGGCCAAGCGAAAGCGUUAAGUAUUCCACCUGGGGAGUACGCCGGCAACGGUGAAACUCAAAGGAAUUGACGGGGGCCCGCACAAGCGGAGGAACAUGUGGUUUAAUUCGAUGAUACGCGAGGAACCUUACCCGGGCUUAAAUUGCAGAUGAAUUACGGUGAAAGCCGUAAGCCGCAAGGCAUCUGUGAAGGUGCUGCAUGGUUGUCGUCAGCUCGUGCCGUGAGGUGUCGGCUUAAGUGCCAUAACGAGCGCAACCCUUGUUGUCAGUUACUAACAGGUUCCGCUGAGGACUCUGACAAGACUGCCAUCGUAAGAUGUGAGGAAGGUGGGGAUGACGUCAAAUCAGCACGGCCCUUACGUCCGGGGCUACACACGUGUUACAAUGGGGGGUACAGAGGGCCGCUACCACGCGAGUGGAUGCCAAUCCCCAAAACCUCUCUCAGUUCGGACUGGAGUCUGCAACCCGACUCCACGAAGCUGGAUUCGCUAGUAAUCGCGCAUCAGCCACGGCGCGGUGAAUACGUUCCCGGGCCUUGUACACACCGCCCGUCAAGCCAUGGGAGCCGGGGGUACCUGAAGUGCGUAACCGCGAGGAGCGCCCUAGGGUAAAACUGG